AGUAUAGUGCCUAGCCUUCGAUUCAAUACAGUAAAGCCGUGGUUUAAAGUUUUUGAUCGAAUGCUGACAAGAUUUUCGAGUUGUAGCCUUUCUUCGUCCUUUUUUGGAGUGUUCAUGUGUUCUCAAUUUAUGCCCGUUAUGUUGCCGACAGUCUAGUGGAAACUGAUACUGAUAGUGAUAUUUGAUCUUCCCCUGCUCUGACAACGUGUGGUCAAGUUUGUAAGGCCAGCUAUCUGGCUGAUGCCUUAGUUUCAUGCAGUAUACAUACAGCAAGGAAUUGGCUCCACCGUCGCUCAUUCUUCAACUACACAAACCAUUAAGGAAGUUUGCUCUCUCAGGUCUGAGGUCCUGAAACGGGAGUCUCCAUCCAGACUACCAAUGAUAGAUCACCUCUUGUGACCGCCUUUUAUCGCAUCCAUCCUUGCCUAUUGUGACCGCCUUUCAUCGCAUCCAACCUCGCUUCUGUUUUAUCCUGCAUGGUACCGUAAUCACCACAUUCUCCACACUCUCGACUGUCUCCAUUAUUCACUUGGAAGUUCUCAUCACACUUGUCAUCAAACCAGACAGCUUUCAACCAGAAUCUUCCAGGUGUAAAAAAAAAAAGGUGCCAUCUGCCAUUUGGACUUUUACUGAAGUACUGGUUGAAGCAGAUUUCAUUAUCAUCUCCAUCUCAUCUCAUACCAUCUCAUCUCAUACCAUUUCAUCUUCACCCACAAAAGAAGCACUCAUUCAAACCUUCAUCCAUCAUAAAGUCUGUGUGCGGGCAACUCACGACAAUAACCCUAGCACUCUUAAGCUUUGAUACGAACUUCUUGGUGAUCAUGAUGAACACUGUUACUUGGAUUUGAACCAAUCAAGGACCCUAUCAAGUACGACCAACAAAAGAAAAUGUGGCAGAUCAAAGAAGAGAUCAAGGAUUUCCGAAUGUACAGAGUUCAUGCUGGUGGCAAGAGAAAAGAAGCAAAGAACAAGAAAGGUCGAGCAAGGAACAAGAAAGAAGCAGUCGAGGUUUCCUGAGUUGUAACGGACACAGUGUUGUACUUCGUACUCAAAGCUGGCAAGAUAACUUCUUCAGAUGACUGCAAAGCGCAACAUUGCAAAGCUCAUUUCUACAACCCUAGUCACCAAUGACAGUGCACCACCAUAUCCCUUUGCUCACCAGUUCAAACAAACUACCGCCCUCGAGUCAGAAGGCUGUCCUCAUCAUCCAACACACAGCGGUAACAUCACCCAAGGACUUGAGCCCUCCGGUGAUACCUGGUUCAGCAAAGACUAGGCCUUGGGGAGUGUUUACGGCUCUGUCAUCAUAACAGCAUUGUGGCAGAAGUAUGGAACACCAGCAUAUACAGGAUGACUGCAAAGCGCAACGUUGCAAAGCUCACUUCUACAACCCUAGUCACCAAUGACAGUGCACCACCAUAUCCCUUUGCUCACCAGUUCAAACAAACUACUGCCCUCGAGUCAGAAGGCUGUCCUCAUCGUCCAACACACAGCGGUAACAUCACCCCAGGACUUCAGCCCUCCGGUGAUACCUGGUUCAGCGAAGACUAGGCCUUAGGGAGUGUUUACGGCUCUGUCAUAACAGCAUUGUGGCAGAAGUAUGGAACACCAGCAUAUACAUAUGACUGCAAAGCGCAACAUUGCAAAGCUCAUUUCUACAACCCUAGUCACCAAUGACAGUGCACCACCAUAUCCCUUUGCUCACCAGUUCAAACAAACUA
rnacentral:lncRNA from 15 species